rnacentral:rRNA from 1 species
UACGGGGGGGGGGUAAGCGUUGUUCGGAAUUACUGGGCGUAAAGGGCUCGUAGGCGGCCAACUAAGUCAGACGUGAAAUCCCUCAGCUUAACUGGGGAACUGCGUCUGAUACUGGAUGGCUUGGAUUCGGGAGAGGAAUGCGGAAUUCCAGGUGUAGCGGUGAAAUGCGUAGAUAUCUGGAGGAACACCGGUGGCGAAGGCGGCAUUCUGGACCGAUAUUGACGCUGAGACGCGAAAGCGUGGGGAGCGAACAGG